AUGGCCUGGACCCCGCUCCUCCUGGGCCUCCUGGCUCACUGCACAGGUUCUGUAUCUUCCUAUGAGGUGAAUCAGCCGUCCUCAUUAUCUGUGAGACUGGGAGGGGAGGCCAAGAUGACCUGUGCGGGAAACAAUAUUAGAAGCAAAUAUGUUUCCUGGUACCAGCAGAAGCCAGGCCAGGCCCCAAUGCUUGUCAUCUAUGAUAGUAACAAGCGGCCCUCGGGGAUCCCUGACCGCUUCUCUGGCUCCAACUCUGGCAACCUGGCCACCCUGACCAUCACGGGAGUCCAGGCUGAGGAUGAGGCCGACUAUUACUGUGCAGUAGAUAAUAGCAAUUGGGGGCAGCUGGCAUUGAGCACAGUGGCAAAGAUACUAGGGAAGUGGGACUGCAGCCUCACCAAAUUCCUGGUACACUGCAGAGUUGAGGACUCCCAGAACAGGACACAGGCCAGCAGGAAGGGGGAACAUCUCUGGAAGCUGAUUAUGAUCAAAAACCUCUAA